rnacentral:rRNA from 1 species
CCUGAGAAACCCAAAAGAUCGAAUGGGGAGACUCAUCGUCAGCUACUUUGGCUUACGUGCGGUGCGCGAUGAUCGGGAUCUUGAUCUUGUUUCACGCGUCCGCUGCGUCAUGUUCGAGGUGGUCGGCGUGCACUUCUCCCCUAGUAGGACGUCGCGACCCGUUGGGUGCUGGUCUACGGCCCGGUCGCAAGUCUGACGUGUCGCGUUUACGCGCGUUCGCGUCAGACGACCGGUCGCUCGGCCAGCUGCUCGGCGGUAUUGAACGAUCAUUAAUUGGUAUUGGGCCGCAUUAAGUGCGUUCAGGCUCGUUGGCAGGCUCGCCUCGCUCGGAUUUAUGGACCUAGUGCCGUUGCCGAGUGCUUGGUGUGGCUGUUGGCCGAUGAUGUCCUCGGACUGGCUCUUUAUAUUCGAACGGAUAUACCGGUCGGCGACGCUACUGCUUUGGGUACUUUCAGGAC